rnacentral:rRNA from 1 species
AACGAACGCUGGCGGCAUGCCUAAUACAUGCAAGUCGAACGAAGGCUUCGGCCUUAGUGGCGCACGGGUGCGUAACGCGUGGGAAUCUACCCUUGGGUUCGGAAUAACAGUUAGAAAUGACUGCUAAUACCGGAUGAUGACGUAAGUCCAAAGAUUUAUCGCCCAAGGAUGAGCCCGCGUAGGAUUAGCUUGUUGGUGAGGUAAAAGCUCACCAAGGCGACGAUCCUUAGCUGGUCUGAGAGGAUGAUCAGCCACACUGGGACUGAGACACGGCCCAGACUCCUACGGGAGGCAGCAGUAGGGAAUAUUGGACAAUGGGCGAAAGCCUGAUCCAGCAAUGCCGCGUGAGUGAUGAAGGCCUUAGGGUUGUAAAGCUCUUUUACCCGGGAUGAUAAUGACAGUACCGGGAGAAUAAGCCCCGGCUAACUCCGUGCCAGCCGCCGCCGUAAGAC